GGGCUUCGUAGGGCCAGCAGCUUUAGCUAUGGUGUUUGCAUUGGCCGUACCUUUGUCUUCCUUCCAGAAGCUGUACCCCUCUCUGCAUUCAUCAGAAUACAUUCUUCAACAUCCAGGAGUGCAACAAGGAUCAUAGAGAAAUGAGUGACUCCGUGUUGGCAAAACUGUGUACAAAAAGGCGUGGUCAAAUUUGGCCUGUGGGCUUCGUUCGCUGAUCUCUGGUCUUGCACCAGGUACUCUUCAUUUUCCAGCAAAAUCACCCUUUUCUUCUGCCUGUAUCCUCCAAAAAAGGGUUGCUAAAAAGAAAAAUAAAAACACCGUUGCAUCCAUA